rnacentral:lncRNA from 1 species
CUUUUUUCUCGGAUAUACUUUGUUCAACAGGAUGACCUGUGCGAGUCUAUUCUAUUGGUCUAGAAUCGUUCGUUCGGCAGGAAUUCGGCAGGAUAUUUUUCGCCACCAAUGUGUGCGACUCGUGCAAAAGAUCGCAUAUUUUUAGCUGUAGAAUGACAAAUGGGGAUUCACAUUUGGACGGACCGUUAUCUUUGUCUCUAGCGACGACAAACUCGAGAUACGUCACUGGUUACUCCAAACUCUGUCGCGUUUCCUCGCCUAUCCUGCUUGCGCUCUCGUGGUUUCGCAUACAGUUCAGUCUCUCUCUCUCUCUCUCUCUCUCUCUCUCUCUCUCUCUCUCUCGAUCACGUGCACAUAUUACGCACACCGUGAUUCCUCAACAGCUGUCAAGCUCGUUCCUUCUCUUUCCGUCGUUCGGUUUCUCCGUUAGACUAGCUCCGUAUAUCGCCUCGUUCGCGUUUUCCAUUGGUUCGUUAUCGCCCCACCAGCACCGAGUCACCUUAUUUAGCUCAGAAAAAAAAAGUUCUAUCACUCGGUGAGCACGUGCUCGUCCACCUCCACCCCCACUCCCGCUGUGCCUCUCUUCGUGUGCCGGCUUUCGGAACGUUGCUGCCGGCAACGUGACUCUGUAGUCUCUUCUCUUGGUGAUCAACCUUCAAUUGCCCCAAUUUUCUCGACAAGCAGUCAACAAUAUGAGUAUAUUUUAAUACGUACCAAGACACGUAUGCGCGCGGCAUUAAAUAUCUCUACCUGCAUCCAAGUUGGAUACUAUUGUAUAAUAAAGACCACGCGUCUUUUCUGACGUGAUUUUGGCGUGACGUUUCCGCUUAAAUCAUUUAAACGUGCAAACAUCUCUCAACGAUUAACGCGGGCGCAAUAAGAUAAAUAAUAUCAACGAGAGACUACGAUUAAAGGAAAAUCCAAGCGGGAGAGAAAUAUUCCUUGUUGCCAGAUCCAAAUGUGUGUAUUUCCUGCGCUGGCCUGGGGUCCCUUCGAAGAAAUUUUUCGGCACACUACAAAGUCACUUUGAAAUCGGAAGUUCUCGUCCGUUAAAAUGGCAAAAAUCUUCGCCGGAGGUUCUGUCCCUUCUUGCGCUCUUCUUUCAGCUUAGUCUGUCGCUUCGGACUCGGGCUUUUUAACGGCAACCGGUACGGUUGUUUUAUGCGACCUUUGUCGAUAAGCGCAGCACACCGCACAGUUCCUGCAGCAGCAAACUACACACCAAUAUCGAUAACGAGUCUUUUCCAUUCCACACGCCAGGUCAGGCCGCGGCGUGACGUCAGCGGCAGAAGACUUUCUCGUCUAGUCCGCGUCGUUGACUCGACUCGACGAGUUCGGCGUACUUCGUACGUACCUAAAUAUGAUUUCUUGCAGCGUUCUAUUCGCAGAUAAUUUUGCAGGAAAUCGAACGUCUCCACGCCCAUCUUUCUCUCUCCCUCGGUGCUCGGUGCAGCGAAAGCGGUCCAGGGCGAGACCUGCUUGGCGGAGGUAGGUUCUGCCUGCGUCGGGACACGACGCGAUCCAAUUGACAAAUUCACCCCGGACGGACGGACGGACGAGCGGUCGCGAUAUAUCGUUCGACGCUUUUCGCCGCUACGUCCACACCACGUCCGAUAUACGUCGAAUACGAGCAGCGAAUUUCAAUCUUAAUCUACUCAUCCCCUGAAGGGGAUGGGGAUUCUUCCUGGUUUCCCAGACUCCACAUCCACAGAGGCUGAACUUGAGAGUCUUCUCAUUUAAAGCUGAAUCCGUCUCAAGAACUCAAGAACUCAAGAAGAAGAAAAGGAUCUACUUUUUCUCUUCGUCGGAUGUUUUCAACAGUUGGACAACAGAUGAAUAUUAAUUUUCUUUUAAUAUAAAUCGUUAAAUAUCCAUACUUGAUUUUAAGAAAAAUAACUGUCCUCUCUCUGCGAAAAGUUAUUGUUCGAUUUGAAAAAAGAUUAAUUAAAAG